UACAGAGACCUCAAGCGUUAUCCGGAAUCAUUGGGCGUAAAGCGUACCGUUAGGUGGUUGUACAAGUCAGAAGUGAAAUCUCCGAGCUCAACUCGGAAUCUGUCUUUUGAAACUGUACGACUAGAGGGCAAAGAGGAAGCUGGAACGAACGGUGUAGUAGUGAAAUGCGUUGAUAUCGUUCGGAAUACCGAUAGCGAAGGCAGGCUUCUGGGUGCCACCUGACACUGCUAGGACGAAAGCGUGGGGAGCGAAUGGGA
rnacentral:rRNA from 1 species